CCGGUCCUCGGUGGUGGUCUUCGGUCAUGGCCCGUUCGGGCGUGGCCGCGGACUUCGAUCGAUGACCGG
rnacentral:ncRNA from 1 species